rnacentral:rRNA from 1 species
UAAUUUGCAGAGGAUGCUUCUGGCGAGGUGCCUUCCGAGUUCCCUGGAACGGGACGCCACAGAGGGUGAGAGCCCCGUCUGGUCGGACACCGAGCCUCUGUGAAGCCCCUUCGACGAGUCGAGUAGUUUGGGAAUGCUGCUCUAAACGGGAGGUAUAUGUCUUCUAAAGCUAAAUACCGGCCAGAGACCGAUAGCGCACAAGUAGAGUGAUCGAAAGAUGAAAAGCACUUUGAAAAGAGGGUUAAACAGUACGUGAAAUUGUUGAAAGGGAAGCGCUCGCGACCAGACCUGGUCCCGGCGAAUCACCCGGCGUUCUCGCCGGUGCACUUCGGCGGGCUUCCAGGCCAGCAUCAGUCCGCGCCGGGGGACAAAGGCGGGGGGAACGUGGCUCCCCAGGGAGUGUUAUAGCCCGCCGCGCAAUGCCCCGGGGGCGGACUGAGGACCGCGCGUCACCGCAAGGAUGCUGGCGUAAUGGUCGCCAGCGACCCGUCUUGAAACACGGACCAAGGAGUCGUCCUCGUAUGCGAGUGUUGGGGCGUCAAACCCCCCGCGCGUAAUGAAAGUGAACGGCAGGUGAGAGCCCUCGCGGGCGCAUCAUCGACCGAUCCUGAUGUUCUCGGAUGGAUUUGAGUAGGAGCAUACGGGGCCGGACCCGAAAGAAGGUGAACUAUGCCUGUGUAGGGUGAAGCCAGAGGAAACUCUGGUGGAGGCUCGCAGCGGUUCUGACGUGCAAAUCGAUCGUCA